CUCUAUCCCCAAAAAGACUAUUUCACUCCCUCCGACCCCCUUUCCUUAGC
rnacentral:tRNA from 3 species